UACAGAGGGGGCAAGCGUUGUCCGGAAUCACUGGGCGUAAAGGGCGCGUAGGUGGCUUACCAAGCGUGUGGUGAAAGCCCGGAGCUCAACUCCGGGGUCUGCCAUGCGAACUGGCAGGCUGGAGCACGGUAGAGGCCAAUGGAAUUCCGGGUGUAGCGGUGGAAUGCGUAGAGAUCCGGAAGAACACCGGUGGCGAAGGCGGUUGGCUGGGCCGUUGGCUGACACUGAUGCGCGACAGCGUGGGGAGCAAACAGG
rnacentral:rRNA from 1 species